rnacentral:rRNA from 1 species
UGAACGCUGGCGGCAUGCCUAACACAUGCAAGUCGAACGGAAACGAUGGGAGCUUGCUCCCAGGCGUCGAGUGGCGGACGGGUGAGUAAUACUUAGGAAUCUACCCAGUAGCGGGGGACAACUCGGGGAAACUCGAGCUAAUACCGCAUACGCCCUACGGGGGAAAGCAGGGGAUCUUCGGACCUUGCACUAUUGGAUGAGCCUAAGUCGGAUUAGCUUGUUGGUGAGGUAAAGGCUCACCAAGGCGACGAUCCGUAGCUGGUCUGAGAGGACGAUCAGCCACACUGGGACUGAGACACGGCCCAGACUCCUACGGGAGGCAGCAGUGGGGAAUAUUGGACAAUGGGGGCAACCCUGAUCCAGCAAUGCCGCGUGUGUGAAGAAGGCCUGCGGGUUGUAAAGCACUUUCAGUAGAGAAGAAAAGCCUAGGGUUAAUAACCCUGAGUCUUGACGUUACCUACAGAAGAAGCUCCGGCUAACUCC